UCUAGGCGGAAACCACCAGCCAAGGGAACGGGCUUGGCAAAAUCAGGCGGGAAAAGAGGACCCUGUUGAAGCUUGACUCUAGUCAGUAUUUGAUGGAGGAAGAAACAAGAAAGGUGUAGCAUUACAUGGGAGAAUAUUCAUCACUCCCUACUCUCGCUCGGGGGGUGUUCCGUGCACGCCAAUGAAAUACCACUACUUUGAUCGUUUCUUUACUUAUUCGGUAAAGCGAAAAAAUUGUGGCCAAUUUGGCGGCGUUUAUGUCGCUGUUGGUCAUUGUUUUCAUGUUGGAUUGAAGCUUUGUUUACAGCCGUCGCUUUGUGUCUUCAUUUGGCGCAUUGUUGUACUGGGUUAUCCCAGUGUGUGAUGUGGUCACAAUGGAUGAUCGGCGAUAGGCUUGAAGUGAUUCGCUCCGGAAACAGUGUCAGACGGGGAGUUUGACUGGGGCGGUACAUCUGUUAAACGAUAACGCAGGUGUCCUAAGGUAAGCUCAGCGAGGACAGAAACCUCGCCUAGAGUAAACGGGCACAAGCUUACUUGAUUUUGAUUUCCAGUACGAAUAGAAACCGCGAAAGCGUGGCCUAUCGAUCCUUUUGAUUGUGUAGAUUUCAUGCAAGAGGUGUCAGAAAAGUUACCACAGGGAUAACUGGCUUGUGGCAGCCAAGCGUCCAUAGCGACGUUGCUUUUUGAUCCUUCGAUGUCGGCUCUUCCUAUCAUUGCGAAGCAGAAUUCGC
rnacentral:ncRNA from 1 species